rnacentral:rRNA from 1 species
CCUACGGGAGGCAGCAGUAGGGAAUCUUCCACAAUGGGCGAAAGCCUGAUGGAGCAACGCCGCGUGGGUGAAGAAGGUCUUCGGAUCGUAAAACCCUGUUGUUAGAGAAGAAAGUGCGUGAGAGUAACUGUUCACGUUUCGACGGUAUCUAACCAGACAGCCACGUCUAACUACGUGCCAGCAGCCGCGGUAAUACGUAGGUGGCAAGCGUUAUCCGGAUUUAUGGGGCGAAAAGGGAACGGAGGCGGUCUUUUAAGUCUGAUGUGAAAGCCUUCGGCUUAACCGGAGGAGUGCAUUGGAAACUGGGAGACUUGAGUGCAGAAGAGGAGAGUGGAACUCCAUGUGUAGCGGUGAAAUGCGUAGAUAUAUGGAAGAACACCAGUGGCGAAAGCGGCUCUCUGGGCUGUAACUGACGCUGAGGUUCGAAAGCGUAGGUAGCAAACAGGAUUAGAUACCCGAGUAGUC